UGAGAGUCACCUUCAUUUGGACACAUUUCGAGGUACGGGACCAAAAGAAAUAAUCUGGUUUUUAAAAUCAGAAGGGGCUUUUUGGAACGAAGUUGCAAAAAUAAGCAAUUACAUUUGUGCAAAAAUCCUUCCCUUAAUGACAUAAAAAUCUUGACUUCGCUGGAGAAAUUUUUAAUAACGAACACAAAAUGUCCUUUGUUGAGGAAAUGGAACGGAAAAUAAUUUUAAAGACAAAUUGGCCCAAGGGAUUUCUUGUUCAACUUUAUAAGAGGAAUGCCCAACAAAUUGAUUCGACUUAUACAAAUUGAUGAUAACGUCAAAAUUCAAUACGUAAACAAAUAAAUAGAAAGAGGGAUUCAUUCAAAGAGAAGGCUCACAUUUACGAGAUUUUUGGGGCUAUGUCUAAUAAUUUCUUCGAGUUUUCAGCAUAUUGGUUCUGAUAUAGGGUAAUAAAAAACACAGUAUCUAUGGGGAAUAUUCAUGGAAGUACUCCGGAAGAUAAGGUUUGGUUCUUAUGUAAACCGGUAAGGGAAACUGCAAAUAAUUUCUUGUCUGAAUACUGUGCCACAGAAAAACACAGAGAUAAAAUAGUGCAAAUAGUAAGCGAAAAAUAUAUAAUAAUUUUAAGAAGUAGCCAUUUUGCUUCUCUUUAUAUUGGCCCAUACCCAAACAAAAUCAACUAUUUUAUUUCAAACGUUUUUAUGGUUUUUUAUAAAUUUAAAUGAGCGAAAACCCCCUUACCGCUUGACAUGCUAAAAUAUAUAGAAAACAUCGGUUUGAUUUGUUAACUUUGGAGGUGUUUUAACAUGUUUUUUUUUUUUGUAUCAAUGUUUAUGUUGUAUUUACAGAAAUUUAGUUAAUUAGAAUAAAGUUGUACUUCUGUACAAUAAAAGAAAAAAAGUGGUGGAUGAUAUAACUCUCUUCAAUGUAAUGGUUUCGUCAAGGGAUCUCAAUUAUUAAGGCGAGAUCCAAUGAACAAGUAUUUUACUCGGUGGAUCUCAUCUCCAUUAAUGGAAAGAUCGUUCAUUGAGUAGGUACCUCUUCAUAUCAAUAUCUUCCACAUAAUUAAGAUAUACUUCUACAUAUAAGAAUUAAGAAGUUCCAUAAAGCGGCAGAAUAAUCGACUGAGAUAUCUAGUGAGGAGUAGAGAGAGUUCUCAUCCUCCACCAAAAGCUCCUUCUUUGAAAUUAUUGAAAGUCAACUCUACUUCGUCUUCUACUCUGAGAAAGAUAUUCCAUUAAUAAGAGUCUUUCAGUUUCCUAGAUGUAUUAACGCAGAAAUCACUCAUCCCUAUCACAUUUAUAUAUUUUAAGUACAAAAUAUGUGUACUACAAAAUAUAUAACAAACAAUUAAACUUCUGUAGACUUAUGUCGAAAUAUCUGAAUGUCAUUAAAAUUUCCCAAUUUAUUGAGUCGGGAAUCCUUCUCUAAACAGCCAAAUUGCUUGUCACUAUAUUGGAAUAUUACUCAGAUUGCAAAGAUCUAGGAUUUCAUCAGGAAUAAAUAAAAUACUAAAUGUUUUC
rnacentral:lncRNA from 1 species